GCGUAACGUAAUAAUUAUACAAUGUUUAGAUUACGACAGUGAUAUAUAAUUAUCAGACACGUAUUAAAAUAACAAUGUUAUGUACUACUAUUUGGGGCAGCGAUAACAGAAAUAAGAGAACCUACAGGCGCCUCUGGAAUACGGGUAAUCCGAAAUUAAGAAGAAGUGAAGCGAAGAAAAGCAUCAUAGUAUUAAUAUUGACAGCAAGAUAAUAUAAAGUUGGUGAUUUAAAUUUUUCUCGCUCUGAUUACAGAUUUAUAUCCCUAAGUAACCUAUAUUUGUCUGUGUUGGUCCAUGAGAAUAGUUGGUUAUCUAGCACCACCUGCUGGUGAAAGUAGAUAUGACAAGUAACAGGUGCACCGUCCCCGUAUAAUUUACUUAAAGGCCUAGUCAAUAGGUCUUCUAAUGUAGGCUAUUCCCGUGAUCGUUUUAGUGUUUCAAAACAGACCAAUCUGGAGCCACUGUAGGGUCGAUAUCCGAUUAGUGAAACCACAUGUCAACUAGGCCUGAGUGUAGCUUACUUAGUAAUACUUUCCCAUCAAAUCAGUGUCAGUUUACUGUGGCAUAAUAUGUUUCUAUUUCUACAGUAAUCUGUUUGUAGAGCAGGUCGGCUAGUGAUUGGAAGGUCACUGGUUCAAAUCCCAGCUCCGGGCAGAGCUGAGCUGCAUGUGGAAGUGUCCUUGUCCAUUACAGACGAUGGCUGGAUGGAUGGAAGAGAAACAGAUAAAUCUGGUCUCUCUGUGGUUGGUACAAACUGGCAUCGUGCACGGAGGGCCCAGGACAGGAAGGCUCUACAGUGGUUGAUUAAAACCGCCCACAACAUCAUUGGUGCCCAUCUACAGAGCAUCAGUGACGUCGGAGAAGUGAAGUCUCUGCACAGAGCCCAAAGGGUGCAAAAAGACAACACCCGCCCUAGCCAGAGUCUGUUCACCCUGCUGCCAUCUAACAAAAGAUACAGAAGUAUCUGCUGCCAUGCCACCAGACUGUGGAGGAGCUUCUUUCCCCGGGCUGUGAGAAUCCUCAAUUCAUCAUCAACACUCUAUUGUCUAAAACAGAUGAACUUAAAUGACUCAAACACUGUUUUGUUUUUUAAAUCCUGAAGAUAAAUGUACCUUGUACAUUGCUCUGCCAUCUUGCAUUCCUUUUUCUAAUCAUCCUCUGUCUGUGAUGGAUGUAUGUCUUAUAUGGUCAUUUACUGUUUCUUAGUGGUUCUUUUGUCUCUAUUUUGGUAAUUUUGCAAUCUUUUUUGUAAUCGCUCUCUGUGUGGAAUGGAUGAAUGUCUUUUUAUGGUUAUUUUGGGUUUCUUUGUAUUCAUUUUGUGUAUCUCUGCUAAUUUUUGUCACUUUAUGGUUGCUUUGUUCAUACUUUGGUCAUUUUGCACCCCUUUUUGUAAUCCACAUCUGUGUGUGAUGGUUUGUACUACUACUACUACUACUGCUGUACUACUACUCCUACUUGUGGUCACUUCUGUAUCUGUGCGGUGAGUUUGUGUCUCUUUGUGGACAUUUUAUGUUUUUGUUGCCAUUUUGAAUUACAUUUAAAUAUUUGUAAUCAGGUGAACUGUAGGCCUAAUCCUUUCAUUUACAUGUCAGCAUUCCUUUAACACCAAACAGGGAGUGGAUUUUCCACCAUACACACAUUUUUCAGUCAGUACCAUAGCCUAAAUUAUUGUGUCAGGAAGUUGGGGCACAGGUUCAAUCUGUAAAGCUUCCAUUUCUGGUACUUUACGGAAAAUGUUCAUCCUUAAGCACUUUGAGUCACCUUGUGUCUGAAUUGUGCAAUACAAAUAAACUUGUUCUGAAUCAGA